rnacentral:rRNA from 1 species
UACGUAGGGGGCAAGCGUUGUCCGGAAUCAUUGGGCGUAAAGAGCUCGUAUGCGGUUCAGUAAGUCGGGUGUGAAAGCUCCGAGCUCAACUCGGAGAGGCCACUCGAUACUGCUGUGACUAGAAUCCAGUAGGGGAGCGUGGAACUCCUGGUGUAGCGGUGAAAUGCGCAGAUAUCAGGAAGAACACCAGCGGCGAAGGCGGCGCUCUGGGCUGGAAUUGACGCUGAGGAGCGAAAGUGUGGGUAGCAAACAGG